UACAGAGGGUGCAAACGUUGUUCGGAAUUACUGGGCGUAAAGCGCGUGUAGGCUGCUCGGAAAGUCGGAUGUGAAAGCCCUGGGCUCAACCUAGGAAGUGCAUUCGAAACUCCCGAGCUGGAGUCCUGGAGAGGAAGGCGGAAUUCUCGGUGUAGAGGUGAAAUUCGUAGAUAUCGAGAGGAACACCGGUGGCGAAGGCGGCCUUCUGGACAGUGACUGACGCUGAGACGCGAAAGCGUGGGGAGCAAACAGG
rnacentral:rRNA from 1 species